ensembl:snoRNA LOC120100448 small nucleolar RNA SNORA17
UUUGAUCUAAGUGAGAAAUGGGAGUUUGUGUGGCUGCUUUGUCACAUGUGUGCCAGUAGGGGGCAGAGAGAAGAGAGACUACAUCUAUGCUCAGUGUUCUGACCUAUGGACAUAUGAGCUAUUCAUAGCCUAACAUU